CCUCCCUCCCUUUUCCGUCUCCUCCUCCCUUCCCUCCCCUCCCCUCCGGCCAUCCCCUCCCCAUCUCUUCCUUCUUCCUCCACGGGCCCCAUCCUCUCCUCCUGUCCCGCGCGGCGCAUGGAUCCCGUCCCUGCCUCUCCUCCCGUGCUGCGCGGGAUGCGGACGCGACGGCGCACGGCGCUGCGCAGCGUGGCGGCCGUGGGGAGCAGCGGCCGGCCGCGUGCAGUGUUGCGCGGAGUGGUGGCGAGGAGCGGUGCGGCGCUGCACGGUGCGUCGCGACUCAGCGCAGCGGCGGCGGCAAGCAGCGGCGGCGGCGAGCAGCAGCCGGCUGCGUGCAGCGCAUUGCGGAGCGGGAGCUAGGAGCGGCGUGCCGUCCCGGUGCAGAGGCACGCCCCUGCCCUGAGCCCCCGAGGAGUUGUCGCACCGAGCCCAGUUAGUAUAUCACAAGAGACGAAGGGUGGUGCAUGAAAGGGUAUAUUUUUUUUCUGAGAGAACACAUGUAAAGAAGGUGACAAGCCCCCGCUUGGGUGACAAGCCCACGCUACUAAGCUCGUCAUGUAAGUAUAUAAUUCAGAAGGUGAAGGUUCUAAAAGCCACCAUAAAAUUAAAUGUCAGCUUAUUUGCAUGUUGCUCAUGGUGACAAGUUUUUUUUGUCUAUGGGCAGUAAUUUUGAAUAUUAUCUACUACUACUUGAAGAGAUGCUGAGUGUAAAGUAAUAAAGACUACUUGAAGGUGGGUUGAAUCUGACUGACAUCAAUCUUAGGGAUGACCUCAAUGGAAUGCGAUAAAAGUGUCCGGGUAUCACUUAGUGUUUUGUUUUAUUUAUAUUUUUUUACAAAUAAUACGUCUAUCAGUUUAAGCUAGAAUAAUUUACUUUUACUCACAACUCACAAGGAACUAAUAUAGUAUGUGGAUAGCAUUCUGUUCCUGUGAUCGUACCUUUACAUGGUCUAUUCAUCCAAUCUAUAAAUGUCUCAUGCUAAUGGUGUUUCAUUUACAAUUAACAGGGAUGAUGUGGCUCUGGAUAUCCUCCAACAUGAUCCCUUUGUGGUAAAAUAGUUGCAGCUCUCUCAGACUUGCAUUUUGUUCUUCGGCUAAGGUUGCUGUGCAUGUAUUUCUAUCUUUUUACAAAUGUGAUUGUCUCAUGUCUUGUAGACAUUUUGCAUGCUCUUCUGAAAUUUGAAGUCUUGUAUGUUCUGUCCAAUUUCCAUGUAAUAAGUCAUAUUGUUAAUUUCUACAAUCAUAUCAAGUAUUGCCCAACCAGAGAGUAAUGGGCAGCUUGUUAUUAAGUUUGCUACAGAGACGCUCAAAACUAGGCUUGAUGUAUGAACUCUUUGUUUUAAUUUUAAUGUAUGAACUCUUUCAUUUAAUCUCGAUGUAUGAGCUCAUGUGAUUGAAUUU